AUAUGUUGUAUUUGGAGACACCAGCAGGAGUUGGGUUCUCUUACUCCUCUAAUGACUCCUAUUAUGCUGGGGUUGAUGAUAAGAUGACUGAACCGGCCCUGAGUGUAGGCUGAUGCGGCAGCUCCCGCAGCGGUGGAGAGGCGCUAUAGAGGGGUGAGAUAGCGGCCACGGGGGAAGUUUGCUGCCGAGAUGAGAGAUCCCGGGAAGAAUGGGGCUUGGGUUUGGCUCGGGAUGUUCGAGACGGCGGAAGAGGCCGCGAUGGCGUACGACCGGGCGAUGUUUUGGAUGUGAGGGUCGAGGGCCAUACUUAACUUUCCUCAUCUUGUUGGUUCUCAUCAGUGUUGUUGAAAAAAAUAUGUAAGGUUAAGGGUAGAGUUGUGAAAUUUGGAGGAAAUGUUUAACAAAAAAUGAAUGAUGAAUGUUCGGAUGAUAUAUGAGCAAUCCAAUAGGCUAUUGAUUUUUA